GUCAGCGGAACGUGGGGUGUUAAAGCGGGUGUCCACAAUAGUGGACAUGGAAUUUUCUUAAUGAAGGCGCGGCCAGAUUUGAUUAGUUUGUCGUCAAGUACAGUAAACUUGUCGUUUUCUUUCCUACAAUGCCAACAAACACUCUCUCUCUCUUACAUCAUUAGUGGUCAGUUAACGUUUUGUGCUAACUUUGACAGGAUCUCUGCCAGACACCGCAGCUCACCAGUCACCUCCACCACAAGUGUGGACCCCGCUACAGAGACCACCACCACUCAUAAGCUUGAUCUAACAGGUUGGGGGGGGGGUGAGACAAGAACGAAGCAACGUCAGCAGUAGCUGGAACAGUAUUAAUCCAGACACCACGCUCGCUACAUCUCUCCAGCCACCACGCCACCACCGACCCCUCGAGUGUACGCAGCCCAGUGUCCGUCUGUGUCUUGUCGUGGGCGUGACGUUCAGCAGCGGCAGGAACAGCAACGGGAAGCUUGAUCUGCGUGGGUUUUCGUGCGGCGGGGUGACGUGCCGCUGCUGUGAGAUUAUCGGACCACACACACACAGCACAGCACAGAGGAGGAGAGGCGUUGACGAUCCAAAGGCCUGACUCCACAGCGGUAAUGAGCCUCGUCUACCUUGCACUUAACGGACAAUGCUCACUACCAACACCUCUGCCUCCGCCACCGCCACUGCCGCCGUUGAGGGAGACUGGCUGGAUGAGUGGGUGAUAGAGGCGAGGCAGGUGUGGUGAGGCGGAGGAUUGGAGACGAGAACCUACAGAUGACGGCAGACACGGAAGAUUCCACUUACCAGGAGUUGGUGAUCCGAAGCCGUGACUGCAGCGAUCCCGUGCGGCCUGCACCAUCAGGGAAGGACUCUCUCUGGCUUCGCACUGCGCCUACAUUGACCGUUGCCGCCGCUGCUACCGCUACUCGGAGGGGCACUGCCUCGCAUUGGGCCUUCACUGCCGUCCCGCUAAUACACGUGUCGCCGUCGCAGCUACUGGCACUGAGGGACUUCGCCUCGCAGCGGCCUGGCAAACACCUGCUACACCACCACCACUAACUCCACCACCGCAGUCCAGAGAUUCAGCUUCGCAUAGCAGACAUCCUCCUAUUCAACGCUUGCUGCCACUACCACCUCAUUAUGGUGGUGUCACUGUACUUGGAUCUGUUGUCUCUACUGAAUAAUAAUGUGUAAAGAAAUCUUUUUGUUUCGGUAAAUUUCCUUUCCUGGGAAUA
rnacentral:misc_RNA from 1 species